GCGCCGGGCGCAGCGUGCUCCAGGCCCCCACCUAGGGCGCGGUUCUCGGGAUUCGCGCGGCAUGGUUGGCCUAGGGGUUGGGAGAGAGUGCAGCAAACAAGAUUUUUCCCGGGAUGGGAAGCCCCGCUUCCCGCCAAAGCGGGCCGGGUAAACAGGCCGCGCGAAGGUUCCAGGGAACUGGAAGCCCAGAGACAAGCUGGCAGCCGCCUGCCCUGGCCAAAUAGGAGCCCUGUGACCAGUAAAGGCCAUGCUGAAGAUGCCAAAUGGAGAUGAGAGGCCCUGGAGGAUAAGAAGUCAUGUGGAGGAGAACUGAGACACACCAGCCAACAGCCAGCACCAAGUGCCAGCCAUGCUGGCGGAGAUUUAAGGAAAGUCUCUGGGGAGGCCCCUGCAAAGUCAGUGUUCUAACAUAUGAAUGGUGUUGAUGGAAAAAGCUGAAGUGCUUUUUUGAGCAAGAAUCAGACUAUCGCCACGUGGCUUUCGGACUGUGGCUAAAUUCCUCAUCAGAAAGAAAUGGAGAUGAUCAUACCCGUCCUUACCUCACAGUUAUUAUGAAGAUCAAAUAAGAGAACAAAUACAAAACUGCUUUGAAAACUGUC